CUGGAAAAGAAAAUAUAAAAAUAUAAACUUGUCUUCCAUCUCGUCGCAGGAGAUGAGUCAGCAGAACAGGAAAUUCUCCUUGCACAAGCCCUUCUGAUCCCGUGGGCUGGGUGUGUGCGGUAUCGAGCGAGGGCUGGGAAGGGGAACCGGCUUCUCUACUGCAACCACUUUGAAAGGUGAACAAUGCGAGCUGGCCGGAGUUGGAGUGACAUCCUGGAGGUCACAGAUAUUUCAGAUUUGGCCACAGAGUCAGUUUCUCUGGAAGGACUUGAAGCUUAUCUCCAGGACAUCCAAGAUCUUCCUCCUUUGAGGUCCGAAGCUGUGAAGCACUUCUCCAAGCAUGACCUAGAGGAGGCAACUCCCUUAGGUAACCAGUAGGACCUGUAUUUAGCUUGGUGUCAUUUAUGGAGUGCCAGCCAAUGGGAGUGGCAUAAAAUGGCAUGUUUGUCACGACUGUGCUUUCAGACUUUCUGCAGAGGCCAGCCCCAUGGCAAAGAAAAGUGGAGAUGACUCUGUCACGUCAAACCAGAGCUUGUUGUCUUCAAGGUUUGGAGUAAUCCAUCCACCUUUCUUCAAAAAAUGUCUCCCAUGAGCACUUAGGGGGAAGGUCAUGUCCUCAGCAGCAACUGUCGAGUAGAAACUCUUGGUCAAUAAUUAGAAAGAGAGCACAUUUUAUUGCCUCAUAUGGUAUUCCCUCCACUAUGAUAGUGUCAUCCUAGUUUUAUUAUUGUCACCCUAAAUCCCCAGCCCAGAAACAAUAGGGAUGAAGGGCAUUACUUCCUCUGCAGCAGUGAAAGCUUUUCGAAAUAGUUAUUACUAGUUGUCCAAUCAGUCAUCUUCUUUCCAUGACAGUUAAACACGGACCCUGGAAUCAGACUGUUUGAACUUCAGUUCCACUUAUUAGCAGAGAGACUGUGUCCAGUUACAUCUACUCUCUGUACUGUGUUUUCCUACCUGCAAAAUGAGGGUGAUGGUCCCUACCUCCUAGGGCUGUUGUGAAGCACCAAUGUGUUACUAUAUGUUAAGGGCUUAGAUCAGUGUCUGGCACUGCUGGUAAGUGCAAGGUAAAUAUUUGCUGCUUCUGUUGCUGUUGUUAUUCCAUUCACUUAGCACCAAGAGCAAAAGCCGUCCAUGGUGAUGCUUCACGUGACACGCCUGUAGGACAGAACAGGCAUUAGCCCCAUUUCAUCAGGGUAGAGGACCUAAUAAAAAUGCUUUAUUGUGAGUGAUACUUUUUUUA
rnacentral:lncRNA from 1 species